AGAGUUUGAUCAUGGCUCAGGACGAACGCUGGCGGCGUGCUUAACACAUGCAAGUCGAACGGAAAGGCCCUUCGGGGUGCUCGAGUGGCGAACGGGUGAGUAACACGUGGGUGAUCUGCCCUGCACUUUGGGAUAAGCCUGGGAAACUGGGUCUAAUACCGAAUAGGACUGCGCUCUUCAUGGGGUGUGGUGGAAAGCUUUUGCGGUGUGGGAUGGGCCCGCGGCCUAUCAGCUUGUUGGUGGGGUAAUGGCCUACCAAGGCGACGACGGGUAGCCGGCCUGAGAGGGUGACCGGCCACACUGGGACUGAGAUACGGCCCAGACUCCUACGGGAGGCAGCAGUGGGGAAUAUUGCACAAUGGGCGCAAGCCUGAUGCAGCGACGCCGCGUGAGGGAUGACGGCCUUCGGGUUGUAAACCUCUUUCAGCACAGACGAAGCGCAAGUGACGGUAUGUGCAGAAGAAGGACCGGCCAACUACGUGCCAGCAGCCGCGGUAAUACGUAGGGUCCGAGCGUUGUCCGGAAUUACUGGGCGUAAAGAGCUCGUAGGUGGUUUGUCGCGUUGUUCGUGAAAACUCACAGCUUAACUGUGGGCGUGCGGGCGAUACGGGCAGACUUGAGUACUGCAGGGGAGACUGGAAUUCCUGGUGUAGCGGUGGAAUGCGCAGAUAUCAGGAGGAACACCGGUGGCGAAGGCGGGUCUCUGGGCAGUAACUGACGCUGAGGAGCGAAAGCGUGGGGAGCGAACAGGAUUAGAUACCCCGGUAGUCC
rnacentral:rRNA from 1 species